rnacentral:rRNA from 1 species
CAGCCGCCGCGGUAAUACCGAGGGUGCGAGCGUUAAUCGGAUUUACUGGGCGUAAAGCGUGCGUAGGCGGCUUUUUAAGUCGGAUGUGAAAUCCCCGAGCUUAACUUGGGAAUUGCAUUCGAUACUGGGAAGCUAGAGUAUGGGAGAGGAUGGUAGAAUUCCAGGUGUAGCGGUGAAAUGCGUAGAGAUCUGGAGGAAUACCGAUGGCGAAGGCAGCCAUCUGGCCUAAUACUGACGCUGAGGUACGAAAGCAUGGGGAGCAAACAGGAUUAGAUACCCCAGUAGUCCCUGUCUCUUAUAC